rnacentral:rRNA from 1 species
AUUGACCGCUGGCGGCAGGCCUAACACAUGCAAGUCGAACGAGUGGCGUACGGGUGAGUAAUGUCUGGGAAACUGCCCGAUGGCGGGGGAUAACUACUGGAAACGGUAGCUACUACCGCAUACCAUCGGAUGUUCCCAGCUGGGAUUAGCUAGUAGGUGGGGUAACGGCUCACCUAGGCGCCGAUCCCUAGCUGGUCUGAGAGGAUGACCAUCCACACUGUAACUGAGACACGGUCCAGACUCCUACGGGAGGAAGCAGUGGGGAAUAUUGCACAAUGGGCGCAAGCCUGAUGCAGGCAUGCAGCGUGUAUGAAGAAGGCCUGCGGGUUGUAAAGUACUUUCAGCGAGGAGGCGUUACUCGCAGAAGAAGCACCGGCUAACUCCGUGCCAGCCGCCGCGGUAAUUC